rnacentral:rRNA from 1 species
GAUGAACGCUAGCGGCAGGCUUAACACAUGCAAGUCGUGGGGCAGCGCGAGGUAGCAAUACUUUGGCGGCGACCGGCAAACGGGUGCGGAACACGUACGCAACCUUCCUCAAAGCGGGGGAUAGCCUCUCGAAAGAGAGAUUAAUACCCCAUAGUAUCGUCAGAUGGCAUCUGAAGACGAUUAAAGCUCCGGCACUUUGAGAUGGGCGUGCGGCUGAUUAGGUAGUUGGUAGGGUAACGGCCUACCAAGCCGACGAUCAGUAGCUGAUGUGAGAGCAUGGUCUGCCACACGGGCACUGUGACACGGGCCCGACUCCUACGGGAGGCAGCAGUGAGGAAUAUUGGUCAAUGGAGGCAACUCUGAACCAGCCAUGCCGCGUGAAGGAUGAAGGUCCUCUGGAUUGUAAACUUCUUUUAUAGAAGAAGAAACCCCAUUUUUCUAAGUGGGUUGACGGUACUCUGUGAAUAAGCACCGGCUAACUCCGUGCCAGCCGCCGCAGUAACAC